UUCCGGUUGAUCCUGCCGGAGGUUGCUGCUAUGGGGAUUCGAUUAAGCCAUGCAAGUCAGGUAGCAAUACCGGCGAAACGCUCAGUAACACGUCGUUAACAUGCCCUUUGGUCAAGGAUAAUCACGGGAAACUGUGUGUAACACUUGAUAGGGAACACAACCUGGAAUGGUGUGUUCUUCGAAACUCGUGCCAAAGGAUUGGACGGCGGCGGAUUAGGUUGUUGGCGGUGUAAUGGACCACCAAGCCGAAGAUCCGUACGGGCCAUGAGAGUGGUAGCCCGGAGAGGGACACUGAGAUACUGGUCCCAGCCCUACGGGGUGCAGCAGGCGCGAAACCUUUACAAUGCACGAAAGUGUGAUAAGGGGAUCCCCAGUGCUCACGUACUGCGUGGGCUUUUGCCAAGUGUAAAAAGCUUGGCGAAUAAGUGGUGGGUAAGACUGGUGCCAGCCGCCGCGGUAACACCAGCGCCACGAGUGGUAACCGCGAUUAUUGGGCCUAAAGCGUCCGUAGCCGGUUCUGCAAAUCUUUUGUGAAAUUGUGCGGCUCAACCGUACAACGUGCAAGAGACACUACAGAACUUGAGACCGGGAGAAGUCAGAAGUAUUCCAGGGGGAGCGGUAAAAUGUUAUAAUCCCUGGAGGACUACCUAUGGCGAAGGCAUCUGACCAGAACGGAUCUGACGGUGAGGGACGAAAGCCAGGGGAGCGAACCGGAUUAGAUACCCGAGUAGUCCUGGCCGUAAACGCUGUGAGCUAGGUGUUGCGUCAGCGACCUGCUGGCGCAGUGUCGAAACGAAGGUGUUAAGCUCACCGCCUGGGAAGUACGGUCGCAAGACUGAAACUUUAAGGAAUUGGCGGGGGAGCACCACAAGGGGUGCGGCGUGCGGUUUAAUCUAACUCAACGCAGAGAACCUCACUAGGGGCGACGGCAGGAUGAAGGUCAGCUUGAAGAGCUUACCUGACAAGCCGAGAGGUGGUGCAUGGCCGCCGUCAGCUCGUGCUGUGAAGUGUCCUCUUAAGUGAGGCAACGAGCGAGACCCA
rnacentral:rRNA from 1 species